UUCUAUCAGAUAAAUAGUUUCCUCUUUAAUUAAUAAUUGUCAUAACAUUAUACAAAUUACCUCUUCUGGAGGAACAUAAAAUAUGGCAUUAUAGCGCAGCUUGCACCACUCGUUUUACUCUAAUAAUUAGAACUAUAUACACAUGCUAGAGCAAAUUAAAUCGUCCAUCUCCACUUUGUGCAGUUGGCACUGGUGUAUGUUCGGUUGUGACAGAAAAUAAAAUAAUGUUCAGAUUCAACAAGAUGAUGAAUACAUUGUUAUAAUGGUCGGCAGUCGGCCCUUUACCGAUCAUUUAGUGCACGUGACCGGUCAAUUUGCCAUGUGCCCGGUCAAUAUUUAGUGCUAGUACUAGUUCCGUAUAUCUGAAGGCUAGAAGGAGCAGGAAUCUAGUUAGUAUUGCUACUUUUGAAACGUGAAAACAGAAAUGAUGGACUCCAGAGGAGGUGGGAAGUGUGUCACCAGUCACAUGGCAAUGGAAUGUGUGGCAUACAAUGUUUUCGUUAUGCUCUUGACCUUUAACCUUUCCUUACAUUUCAGUGUAGCUAUGGUGCCUGUGGUAGAUCUACUCUCUAGCAAGCUCACAUCACCUUCUAGUAAACUUGAAUAUUGUAAACUGUGAUGGAAGAUGGCAACCAACCUGAGUUAAACCUCCCUAGACUGCUCUCCGUAGUAGCUUAUGUAACCACUAGGUUUGAUAGUUAGUAGUAUCCUUUCACUACAUGAUAGCUAAGAUUUUAGAGAAAAUUACCAUGGGAUUGCUGCUGUUUUGGCUACUUGAAGAUCCUCACUUUUCAUGACAAAUCCUGGUCUAAAUCUUUGUGGUUAAACCUGGAUUGUUAGCGCACGUACGUACAUGAUGCGUGUCCUACCUCCUCCUCUGGUGCCAAGCAGCAUAGAAGAACCAUCUUGUUGAGUCACUCAAGGAAAAAAUUGUAAGCAUUUUGAUGGAUGGCUACACACCUAUAUGUCAGGCCAUCGAUCAGAGUAUAUGGUAGGACAUUAUGUCCUUUCGAUUCUAAAUCCUUAUAAUUAGCACUGCAUUGUAUCACGCACUUGUUCUCGAGUGAUAGCUAUCUCAACCAUGCAGCAUUGAUUGCUUCGAGCUGCUGUGCUGGCUGUUAUUGGGCUAUCAUAUUUAUAGUUUUGAUAAGACAUUACUGACAAUAAGUUUAACACUAACUGCUUUCCCUUAAAACAAAAAAACAUCUUUAAAAUAUCAUGAACCAUGCAUUUAAAAUCACUUGUAACUAGACCCUGAGGGUACCAUGACACCAUCAUCAUUAGCCUCGAUUCCAGGCCGCUCUCAAUUGAGAAAGACGGCCUGGUAUACAUUGUCUGCGCAUGCGUCAGUUGCCCCAAGAAUCUUGGGGAUCGAGAUAUCUUAGUAAAUUAGUCAGUAUAAUUAUUUUAUUCCGUGUUUGGUUUUGUAUAACAUGAUUGUAUAUUUAUAAUGAUGUCAUUACACAAGAAUUCUAGUUUUAUUGUGAUGGCUACUUUCUAGUCUGCUCUUGCUCACGCUCUCUCCUGUGUUGGAAAGCCGGAUCUGGUCCUAAAGGACAAGCAGCUCGAGGCGCUGAAGUACUUGUAUGAUGGGAGCGACGUAUUUCUGUGGGUACCUACAGGCUAUGGCAAGUCUAUCUGUUUCCAGGCGUUACCCUUCUUGUUUGAUGUGAAGCUUGGUAGAGUCUCUGCUCCCCCAUCUGAGCGUAGUGUUGUGCUGGUGAUUAGUCCUCUUGUAUCUCUGAUGGUGAACCAAGUCAGCCUUCUUCAGAGUGUUGGCGUGCCUGCUGCCAUUCUCUCUGGUAACAAGGGUGUGGACAAGAAGUAUCAGGCUGUUGGCAGUGACAUUAGUGAAGGAAAGUAUAUACCGUCUUUUCUACAGUUCUUUGGAUUCCAUCACUACCUUGACAACCGUGUUUAGGUCAUUGUCAUUGGAUUUGCGAGCAUGUGCCGUUCCCUGUGGAUGGAUAUUUGUCUGGCUGUCGUAACGGUUUGCACACGGCCCGUGCUGCCCUCUUGAGUAAAAUUCGAACCCAUAUUACCAACGAUAUCUUUGAAGAGACUAUUAAUAAAAUUAUGUUCAUUAUGUAGGUCACAUGGAAUGUUGUGACCGUUGCCCCCGUGUGUGUUUACGAAACGAUCCCACGUAAUUUGACUUACAACAUGUGGAGGGAGUGCAAACGAAGUGCCUCAAAAGCAUAUUUGGUACGUCUGUCAGCGUAAAAAUGCAUUAAGAACACUUUCCAGCAUCUCAGCACUCUCUCUCCAUCACUCCAGCCAUCAAGGAAUUCGGCCAUGUAGUGACAAAGAACACGGCUGUAGUUGUAUACACCAUCACCUGAUUCCUCAACCGUCUCGCCUAGAAUGGCUUCAGAUACAAUUAUCGACUAUCGUUGUGGCCAAUUGUUUUGUUUCAAAUCGACGGUGGUCGAUUGUGGCAGAGAGUCGUCGGGACUUUCAAGGCCAAGCACUUCCAAUGCUUUAGCCACGAUAUGCCCAUCGUAGAUGAUGAGACUGGAAUCCUGACAUGCGUGCAUGUUAUCCUUGGGUACUCUUGCCUCUGGGAGCCGUCGGAGUUGCGUCAGAAGAUGAGUCAGUGUGCCAUGGUCUCUUGAGCUUGUCGAAAACAGAUGUUUCCAGACAUUCUACACAAAAGGGUACCACAUUUUAAUCAUGUGUGUUUGUGUGAUGCUAGCACUUAAUUACAUUUCGUAGCCAACUUGUACUUCGAUUUCAGUGCACUGGGUAGAUUAAAAAAUAGUGUACGUGUGACAUGUCUGUGAGCCAGUUAAUUACAUGCUUUUUUGUAGCCUUUUGAUUUCUAGUGUACUGUAAAUACAUUUGUAGAAAUAUCUUUUCGUAUUGUUUCUUACCAUUAGGAUAUUCAUCAAACAAUGCCAGUCUUCUGCACACGGCACCCAGUCUGCCUCUCUGUGUGUCGGAGUCCAUCAAAUGUUGCUGGCUGCACCGCUGUCUUUCAACAGUCAAGUAGUCUCCACCAGAUGGUCUUAUCUUGGAGCUGUCACCAAGGUACACACUGGUCAGUGCUCACAGAUGUAACCUUAGGAGGUGAAAAGUCAGUUGGAGACGGUGGGUGAAUAACUCUGCUUUUGACAGCUAGUAUGCUAUACAUCUGAACGAGGUGACUAUGAUGGUCUGAGCGGAUGUCACGUACUACUUUCCUCUUUGCUACGUUGUCACCAACGAACUUGAAGUCUUCUCCACUCUCGAUCCAGCGCUCUAAGGGCUCCCUGUGACGUUUGCUGAUCUCGACCACCAAGCUAAGCUUUGCUGGAUAGCUGAUGCAAACAUUCAGAUGGUUCAGUCUCAGGUCUGGAAGCUCACAUUCUUGGCGACUCGGGAGUUAAAACUAGCGAAAGGAGUGACUGAACACCGACCAUUUGUGUUUCAUUCCUUGAAUAGAAUUGCUGCUGCCAAACACAUGCCUGGAUGAUGUGCCGCUCCCUUCCUCCGAGAGUUACGGUGGUCUGAAUACGUCACAACUGUCUCCAAUAUCUGAAAAAGAAUUGGACAAACUGUCUUCAACUCUUUAAUAAACCAAUCCCAAGAAAAUGUCUCCAGCCGGACUGAUGUGACCUUUCGAAAAACGGAGACUGGUUGAAUACUAUCCACAUGACUAGUGAAGGACAGGGAGGACGCUCUAACUGGAACAUUGGCUCCAUGUGAUGGAACGUUUGUCAAAUGAGCUGAACUAGAACACGGUGUAUCUAUUAGUAAUAUUCACAUAAUUAUUCAAGUAGUUUGUGCAUUGAAUGUAUUUUAAGUAUUAUUUAGAACACACCUAGCCAAGAUUAAGUGUUUUAAUCUGGAUGGCCUCGAGGUUAACGUGGUGCUCGAGGCGCAGCCGAGUGCAUUACGUAACCGAGAGGCCAUCCGAGUGCACCAGAUUAAAACACGUGACUUGGCUAGGUGUGUUCUAAAGGAUUUAGUGCUGUCACGUGAGC